rnacentral:rRNA from 1 species
GAGUGGCAGCCGGCUGAGUAACCGCGUGGGAAUUUACCCAGCUCUGCGGACCAACCUGAGGAAACUUGAGCUAAUACGGUAUACGCCCCCGCCUGUAAAUUCGUCGUUUAGGUUUUUUGACCUUCUGGACGCAUUUACUGGCGGGGGAAAGAUUUAUCGGAGUUGGAUGAGCCCGCGUUUGAUUAGCUAGUUGGUGGGGUAAUGGCCUACCAAGGCGACGAUCAAUAGCUGGUCUGAGAGGAUGAUCAGCCACACUGGGACUGAGACACGGCCCAGACUCCUACGGGAGGCAGCAGUGGGGAAUAUUGGACAAUGGGGGCAACCCUGAUCCAGCCAUGCCGCGUGAGUGAUGAAGGCCCUAGGGUUGUAAAGCUCUUUCAACGGUGAAGAUAAUGACGGUAACCGUAGAAGAAGCCCCGGCUAACUUCGUGCCAGCAGCCGCGGUAAUACGAAGGGGGCUAGCGUUGUUCGGAUUUACUGGGCGUAAAGCGCACGUAGGCGGAUCGUUAAGUGAGGGGUGAAAUCCCAGGGCUCAACCCUGGAACUGCCUUUCAUACUGGCGAUCUGGAGUUCGAGAGAGGUGAGUGGAAUUCCGAGUGUAGAGGUGAAAUUCGCUAGAUAUUACGAGUAGGCACUCGACUCAUUGCUGGAAAGUCGAUGCUCCGAGCUGACAGGGUUACAUAACGCCUG